rnacentral:rRNA from 1 species
AGAGUUUGAUUAUGGCUCAGGAUGAACGCUGGCGGCGUGCUUAACACAUGCAAGUCGAACGGAGUAUUGAGGAUGAAGUUUCGGAUGGAUUUUCAAUACUUAGUGGCGGACGGGUGAGUAACGCGUGGGUAACCCUGCCUCACACAGGGGGAUAACAGUUGGAAACGACUGUUAAUACCGCAUAAGACCACAGUACCGCAUGGUACAGGGGUAAAAAACUCCGGUGGUGUGAGAUGGACCCGCGUCUGAUUAGUUAGUUGGCGGGGUAACGGCCCACCAAGACGACGAUCAGUAGCCGAUCUGAGAGGAUGACCGGCCACAUUGGGACUGAGACACGGCCCAAACUCCUACGGGAGGCAGCAGUGGGGAAUAUUGCACAAUGGGGGAAACCCUGAUGCAAGCGACGCCGCGUGAGUGAAGAAGUAUUUCGGUAUGUAAAGCUCUAUCAGCAGGGAAGAAAAUGACGGUACCUGAGUAAGAAGCCCCGGCUAACUACGUGCCAGCCGCAGC